UAGUAGGUCUCCUUAGAAACCAAUUUGUGCAACCAGGUGAACACCAUUUCUCUCUUAGUUCGCAACAGACAUUUCUCUUCUCGUUUCAUCCAACUCUCAUCAUGUUUGUAAUCGAUCUAGCCGUGAAUUUGGUAGCUGUUCACCAUGGGUUCAAGAGCUCUUCUUACAGCCAAUAACGGGAAGAAAUGGAAGUGGUCUGUUGGCUCGAAAUUAUGGAAAUUUGGGGCAAAUUUGUGAACCUGAAACGAGCAGGAUUUGGGGAUCUGAUACUGUCGGUUACGGCGAUUAAGAAGAGGGAUUGAAGUAGUUUCUGCUGAGAAGAAUGAAGAAUAUAUGAGCUCGAAUCUGCUGCUGGUUUUGGGGCUGAAUUGUAUUCGACUUGGAUCUGAUUUUGCUUGGAAGAUUUGGGUAUGAGCUGAAUUCGUUAACAGAGGCGAGGUGGUUAGAAUUGGAGGAGAAUGGGUCAAGUUCUGAGCUCAAUUCCAGCUGAAAUAUGAUGCUGCUUUUAUCGAAUCUGUGUGAUUGUUUUACAGGGUUUGAGAUGGAGUCGGUGAUGACAGAACUGGUGGAGUAAUGGAGGAAGGUUUGUGCUGCUGGAAUGAAGGUUUCAGAAGGGUUUUGAUGUUCAUCUGCCAAGAGUUGUGAGACAUCUACAAUGGGUUUUGAGAGAUAUUUGAGCAUGAAAGAACAUGACAGAGAAAUAUUGAUGUUUGGUGGUGUUGGCUGAAGCCUGGAGUUGAUUUGUGAACUGGGUUCGAGAUGCUAAUCAGUCACAACAAAUGUUGCUGCUCAACUAAAUUGGUGGGUUUAUUUUUACAGGGUUUUGAACUGAAAUUGUAUCAACACUCUUGUGGCAGUCUGAUGGAGUUUAUUGAAACUCUGUUGAAGAGGGCGCUGUGUAUUUGGCAGUGACUAAUGUGAGUUGUUCGAGAAGAGACUUGGAAUCUGGCAUAGGUGCAAAGAGGAGUUUGAGAUGGUAAUGUUGGAGAGGAGUUCUGGAAGUGAGAAAGCAGUGUAGCCUGCCAAUAAUUCUUGUCAGUAUGAGAAGGACCUGAUGUUGUGGUUGCAGUGGCCGAAUCAUGGUCUGUUAACGGUUUGGUGUCUGUCUGAUGAGUGUUCGGCAAUGGCUAGGAUCAGAUUUUGAUGCGGAGAAAACAGCUGGGACUCUGGGUGUUUACCGUGACUGAAUUAUGGACUGUGUCGAUGGGUUUGAGGUGAUUUCAGGGGCUGUUAAGGAUAGGGUUUGUGUGUCCAUUCCUAUGGAUAUUGUGGGUCAAAUAUUAAAGCUAAAAGGGCUGAGAACUAAAGGCAUGUAGGGUUUAUGAAGACUGAGACUUGUGUGGCGUCUAUCCAAGUUGAUAUAGCAGAGACGAGAAGAUAUAAAAGGGGAGGCGCAGGUUAGAGCAAAAGAGCUAUCUUCUUAUCACCAUUAGUGCUUGAGAACAGUCCUGAGAAAGCUUAAAGCAACAAAAACCCUGGUUUGCUGUCUGGUACUAUUUCUUUGGUGAAUGCGUGGAGAGGGCAUACCAAGUCCAAUUGGUAUACGUCUUCGUUCGGGCACUUUAAUAAAAGACUUGUUUCGAGCAGUGAAUACUCCACUUCCUCCUAGUUCUUCACCAAGUGAAUUCUCGGACUCGGACAAAGAGGAAGACAACACAAUGGGAGGUCGACCACCUGCUCCAAGAACACUCAAGGAACUCACUUCUCCAAACCUUGACCAGCAGCCUUUAUGUAUUCAGCUGAAUGGAACCAUUGAGUUGAAGCUGUAAUUGAUUCACUUGCUGCCCAAAUUCAGAGGUUUAGCGGGAGAAGAUCCUAAUCGUCACUUGCAACAAUUCCAUCAUGUUGUAACUAGUUUGAAGCAUGCAACUGCAGAUGCCGAUAUGGCUAUGAUGACAACUUUUCCUUUCUCACUUAUAUAUGCUGCAGGAGAAUGGUUCUUUUGCUUACCUCCUGGGAGUAUAACCACAUGGAAUGAGAUGAAGAAGUUAUUCCUUGAGAAGUAUUUCCGGCAUCAAAAGCAGCAGUAACCCGAAGGAGAUUUGUGGUAUUAGGCAAGUAUCCGGAGAGACUCUUUAUGAGUAUUGGGAGCGGUACAAGAAACUUCUAGCUAGUUGUCCACAACACCAGAUCAGCGAUCAACUUAUUAUUUAAUACUUCUACGAGGGGUUGCUUUCUAAUGAUAGAAAUUUGAUCGAUGCCGCAAGUGGUGGUGCACUCACCAACAAGACCAUUGCUAAAGCUACAAGCUUGUUAGAGAACAUAGCUGCAAACACUCAACAAUUCUACACUAGGGAUGAGCAAAUGGUAAGGAAAGUGAAUGAAGUUGACGAUUCGUCACAUUUGGAACAUAGAAUGUAACAUGGAGAGGAUGAUGCAACAAAUAGCAACGGCUGUAAUACCAUCAUACACCGAAGAAGUUGAGCAAGCUAAUGCUAUGUACCAAAAUCAGCAAAGGCCGAGGUAUGAUCCAUACAACAACACAUACAAUCCAGGUUGGCGUGAUCAUCCUAAUUUCAGCUACGCCAACAAGCAAGAUGCAGCAAAUCCUACUUUCAAUCAACAAGGAGAGUACCAAUUCAUGCAAAGACUACAACAAGAAACUCAAGGUACAAGUGUGGAUGAAAAGUUUACUCUUAUGAUGCAAAGUAUGCAAGAGAUUUCAAAGACAAUGCAAGGGUUUAACCAAUUCCAGCAGAAAUCCGAGAUGGCUAUGAGAGAUGUGAAAAACCAAGUUAGUCAAUUGGCUAAUGAUAUGAAUCAACUCAAGGCACAAGCAGCUGGAAAACUUCUCUCACAACCAUUGAAUCCUAGGGAGACUGUCAAUGCUAUUGAGUUGUGAAGUGGGAAACAAGUAGAGAACCGGCAACAUCACCGGAGUCCCAUGAACGUGAUUUAGAGAAAGAAGUGGACGAAGCAGUCCCUAAAGAUGAUUCAGUAACGAAUUAUAACUCUAAACCUCUUGUUUCUACUUAUGCUACUCCUCCACCUUUUCCUACCAGGUUUGCAAAUUCUAAGAAGGAGACGUUGGACAAAGAGAUUUGGGAAAUCUUCAAGAAGAUCGAAGUGAACAUUCCAUUAAUUGAGGCGAUAAGGCAGGUUCCUUGCUAUGCAAAGUUCUUGAAGGAAUUGUGCACUAACAAGUACAAAUUGACCGGUAAUGAGGUAAUGAGUGUGGGGGAGAGUGCUUCGGCAUAUUCAAAAGAAACUCCCACCUAAAUUGAAAGACCCCGACAAUUUUACU